rnacentral:rRNA from 5 species
GGAUACGGCCAUACUGCGCAGAAAGCACCGCUUCCCAUCCGAACAGCGAAGUUAAGCUGCGCCAGGCGGUGUUAGUACUGGGGUGGGCGACCACCCGGGAAUCCACCGUGCCGUAUCCUCCC